AAGUCGUAACAAGGUCUCCGUUGGUGAACCAGCGGAGGGAUCAUUACUGAGUUGCAAAACUCCAAACCACUGUGGUCUUUAUUGUUGCCUCGGCGGGUUGCCCCAGGGCGGGGCAGCCAAGCGCCCGCCGAAAGCACGCCUAAAACUCUUUUAAAACUAGUCCUCUGAAGCACUAUAAAAUAGUCAAAACUUUCAACAACGGAUCUCUUGGUUCUG
rnacentral:misc_RNA from 1 species